GAGUUUUUCCUGCCCCCUUAGGUUCUUCUAUUAAUCUUCUUCUUCCUUCGAAAUCAGAUCUUAGAGUUAGAGCUUCCUGCCUCCCUGAUCAUUAUCUUCUUCGUAACAACGGCAGCAACACUAUCCACCACUUCCGCAGUAUUAAACCCAAAACAUUGACGUCUCCAAUUAUGCUGCAGAUGUUUAUAUCAGUUGAGUUUAUGCGGAUGAUAAAAUUUCAUUAUUAUGAAGAUAACCUUUGGUCUAAAGUUAGGGAUUUAGUUAACUGGGUUUGAAUCAGAUUUUGAUUUGGUCUAAUGUAUCAUCUAAAUUUUCAAAAUUCAAAGCUAGGGUUUAGUUGUAUCAAAAUUUAGGGGAGAUUGAAUUGAAUCUUUAACCGAUUGGAGGUGGUGGUGAUGGUGUGUUUAUGUUUUGAUGAAGACAAUAUUGUAGUGGUGAUUGUCCAGUAGAAGAAGGAAGCUCUGUACAUUUUUGUGAUCAUUUUUGAGUGCUCCCGUAGUAAAAUCCGUGUAGUUACCUUCCAAUAUGGGUUGACUUGAUGAUGGUUAUGAAAAUCGUGCUGGUGACGUUGUUAAGAAGAAGGAAGCUCUGUACAGUUUGACUCGCCAUUAAUGGCGGCUAGAGAAAGUAGAAGAAAGCCUUAGGGUUUGGUCUUGAGCCGUUAGAUCUGAUAUUAAUAAGGAACGGCUGGAUACGUUUUAUUGCUAGUCCACAUGUAAACAGAUUUUUAACGCUGUUGAGUAAUUAUCGGUGUGUUAAAAACAAUACAUAUUUCUUAACAGACUGUUGCCCACUGUUAGGCCAACGUCUCUUGACUUGACAGUCAAUGACGGAUCCAGGUACCAAAUCUUAAUUUUUUAAUUGUCGAGUGCCAAAUCAAUGUGCUGGUCAUUUGCUGGAUGCCAAACAUUAAAUAUCCCUUUCUUUUAUUCUUAACUUUCAUUCCUCUUUUUUAUUGUAUUCAAGCGUUUUCAUAUGAGUUUAUUGGUUACUUAUGCGUGCCUGUUUUCCUGUAAUAGGCUUUAUCACAUCUGGAUGUAUGAUGUAUCAAUGCAACCCAAGUAGGAGAAGGGAACAUUGGAAGGUGUAAAUGUAAAUGAAGAGCCUAAAGUUGAUUCUGACAAUGAAUAUGCAAGGAAGAAGAAAGCUGCACAAGCAGAUACACCUACUAGCGUUGCACCUGCCAAGAUUGCAAGGCAUCUAACUAAGCAGCUGCAUUACUAAGAAAGACCAAUUGUUAGAUAUCGGCUGAAGGAAAUGCGAAGCCAAUCAGAAAUUCCAGAACCUAUUACUCAGGUUAAUCAUAUUGCAAUUACAAGUGUACUUGGAAAUAGAUCAUGCGGAAAUCCAAUUCAACACCUUGAUGAUUGCAUUUGAAGCUUUGAUUUUUAAUCGUUGGUUUUGCAGGCUCUUUCCUUUUGUGUUUUUUUAGACUGUUGAUGUAUGUUCAUCUUAU